UACAGAGGUGGCAAGCGUUGUUCGGAAUUACUGGGCGUAAAGGGCGCGUAGGCGGCCUACUAAGUCAGACGUGAAAUCCCCCGGCUUAACCUGGGAACUGCGUCUGAUACUGGAAGGCUUGAGGAUGGGAGAGGGAUGUAGAGUUCCAGGUGUAGCGGUGAAAUGCGUAGAUAUCUGGAGGAAUACCGGUGGCGAAGGCGGCAUCCUGGACCAUUACUGACGCUGAGGCGCGAAAGCUAGGGGAGCAAACAGG
rnacentral:rRNA from 1 species